UAUCUAUCAAUGAAAUAUCUCUUUCUCCCUACAUCUCUUUCUAUUAUUGUUUGCUAUUAGGCUAGUUUCACAACACGUUAUCAGCACGAAAGUGCUCUCUCUAAAACCUGUAUUUUCAAUAGUAUGACACCCGCACCUAAAUCACUCGUUCUCUGUUAACUAUCUUUAACACAAAGCCUACCACAACCAUCCCACACAUCUCGCUGCUUUGGCUGGAUUUAUGAGGCACCGCUGAUUGGAAAGGAUUUAAGAUGGUUCAAAACCUAUGGUGUUUCACCGUGGAAAACAUGAUAUUUGUAUGAGGGAUUUUUCCGACUCUUCGCUUUUGCCACUGAAGUUUGUCUUAUUUGAUUUCCACCCUCAGCAGACAAAACAACAAGCAACUCUCAAUCUCUUUUCUUCCUGAUCUCGGCGACCAUUGCUGCUCUCACUGAUCUUUGCAAGGUGUAUGUGCCGUUUUCUUCCAGCGUCACCAUCAACGUGACCACCACCGUCUUCCGCCUCUUUCCCACUUCCGCCGUCACGCGCAGCCGCUCCAAACCCUCUCCUUCAACCCCCGAAGACUCAACCCCUGAAGACCCACCCACCACCGACUCACCGGACACUGGGAGCUUCGAAGACCGUCUCUGACAGGUCCGUACGGAGACGAGGAUGAAAGCGUAUGCGAUUCUAGGGUUUCUCCUCCUCUCAGCCUUCACCGACAACGUAUCGCCGCUCUCAGUCACCGUCAACAACGUCGAAUGUGUAUACGAAUACGUACUCUACGAAGGCGAUACGGUUUCCGGUAACUUCGUUGUCGUCGAUCAUGAUAUCUUCUGGACCUCCGAUCAUCCCGGCAUCGACUUUAUUGGUUUUCUGGGUGUUGGGUGAUGGAUUUGUGCUUCUGGAUGAAGGCAGGAAGAAAGGGAAAAAGAGAAGAUAAAGAAAACGAGUUACCUUAGUGACGAGAGCGACAAGGAGGAACGAUUUAGAGAUAAGCCAUAAACAGAGCUUAUUUAUACAAAUUACAGGUGGCAUCACAAUUUGAUAUAUUCCGUCUUGCGUAAGAUUUUGUUUCCCCUUUUAUAAGUUUUUUUUAAUCUAGGCAGUGGGUUGAUUUAGUCGUAUGCCAAAUGUAUUCUUUUAAGAUAACGUGAAGAUUGGUGAACUUGGUGAUUGUUGUUAUAUUGGUGUUUUUAGGGGAAGCUGGCGAAGUGGUUAGAGAGUUGUGAAGUGGGAAAAAGACAUUUCAGAACAGAACAAUUUGCUUCUAUUUUGUGUGAAACUAUGUUGUUUCUAAUUCGUAAGUUGAACAAUUUGUAAGCCCCCAGCCGCAACGCGGCGGGGGUUAAUCCUAGUUGUUAUUAAUAAAUAUUUGAAAUAGUAGUGAUCAGUAAUACCUGCAGUUAAUUAAUUAAAAUA